GACGAACCGUGCGAACGUUGUUCGGAAUCACUGGGCUUAAAGGGCGCGUAGGCGGGUAGCCAAGUCUGGGGUGAAAUCUUUCGGCUUAACCGGAAAAUAGCCUUGGAUACUGGCUGUCUCGAGUGAGGUAGGGGCAUGUGGAACUUCCGGUGGAGCGGUGAAAUGCGUUGAUAUCGGAAGGAACGCCGGUGGCGAAAGCGACGUGCUGGACCUCUUCUGACGCUGAGGCGCGAAAGCUAGGGGAGCAAACGGG
rnacentral:rRNA from 1 species